ensembl:lncRNA
GUUGAGAGGAGGUGGUGGUGGUUGUGAGGAGGAGGUGGUGGUUGAGAGGAGGAGGUGGUGGUUGAGAGGAGGAGGAAGUGGUGGUGGUUGAGAGGAGGAGGUGGUGGUUGAGAGAAGGAGGUGGUGGUGAGGAGGGGAGGUGGUGGUGGUGGUUGAGAGAAGGUGGUGGUGGUUGUGAGGAGGAGGUGGUGGUGGUUGAGAGGAGGAGGUUGUGGUGGUGGUGGUUGAGAGAAGGUGGUGGCUGAGAGGAGGGAGGUGGUGGUGGUGGUUGAGAGGAGGUGGUGGUGGUGGUUGAGAGAAGGUGGUGGUGGUUGUGAGGAGGAGGUGGUGGUUGAGAGGAGGUGGUGGUGGUUGAGAGGAGGAGGAAGUGGUGGUGGUGGUUGAGAGGAGGAGGUGGUGGUUGAGAGAAGGAGGUGGUGGUUGAGAGAAGGAGGUGGUGGUGGUUGAGAGAAGGAGGUGGUGGUGGUUGAGAGGAGGAGGUGGUGGU